rnacentral:lncRNA from 1 species
CGGAUAAAACGCUGGAAUCGGGAUCAGCUACAAAUUGUAAAAUCGAUGUCUUCGUUCGGUAUAAACUGGGGACGACGUGAUAUAUGUCCCUGAACGGGGAGAGCAGAGUAUUUCUCCUCUUUUUUCUUCCAUCGGUGCAAGCGGAUUCGUUCGAUUUAAACGACGCCAACGAUAUUUUCCGAUUUUCCUAAUUACGACAUACAAAUUUGUAAGAAAGGGGGAAACAAAGUUACGAUUGAGAUCGUGAAAGGUGGAAUAAACGGAAUUCGAAAAAAAAGAAAAAAGAAGAGGAAGAAAAUAAGUCUGGAAAGAAGAGAAGAAGCAAACGACAAGGGGACCGCGACACGAAGAGAAUUUAGAAAGGCUUUAGUCGAGUCGGACGUGCAAUAUCCUUAAUUUUAGUCGCCACCUGCGGAACUCAUCAACGAUUCAACGAACCGGGUUACUCUCGCGAAUUUAUAAUCGCAAUUCCCUCUCUCUCUCUCUCUCUCACUCUUCAUCUAUCUCUUUCUCUUUCUCCUUCUCCUUCUCUGUUUUUCUUUCCCUCGUCGUUUAGUACUUUAAUAUUGCGAAAAUUCAAGAGACAAACGGAGCCAAGGAAGGAUACAAAAGAAGAUAGAAAGGUUGCACGGCAUCCUUUAAAAGAUAAAUAUCUUCUCGACUAUAUAUGACAGUGAUUCGUGGAACGUAAAAAAAAAAAAAUAAGUGAAAAUAUAUUUUCAAAA